UACAGAGGGUGCAAGCGUUAAUCGGAAUUACUGGGCGUAAAGCGUGCGUAGACGGUUAUUUAAGUCAGGUGUGAAAGCCCCGGGCUCAACCUGGGAAUUGCAUUUGAGACUGAAUAGCUAGGGUGCGGAAGAGGGAAGCGGAAUUUCCGGUGUAGCGGUGAAAUGCGUAGAUAUCUGGAGGAACACCGGUGGCGAAGGCGGCAUCCUGGACUACUACUGACGCUGAGGAGCGAAAGCCAGGGGAGCAAACGGG
rnacentral:rRNA from 1 species